rnacentral:rRNA from 1 species
CCUACGGGAGGCUGCAGUGAGGAAUAUUGGUCAAUGGACGCAAGUCUGAACCAGCCAUGCCGCGUGCAGGAAGACGGCCCUAUGAGUUGUAAACUGCUUUUGUACGGGGGUAAACGCAGAUACGUGUGGCUGUCUGUAAGUAUCGUACGAAUAAGGAUCGGCUAACUCCGUGCCAGCAGCCGCGGUAAUACGGAGGAUUCAAGCGUUAUCCGGAUUUAUUGGGUUUAAAGGGUGCGUAGGCGGUCGGAUAAGUUAGAGGUGAAAUGCCCGGGCCCAACUUCGGAAUUGCCUCUGAUACUGUCGGGCUAGAGUGUGCUUGAGGUAGGCGGAAUGCGUGGUGUAGCGGUGAAAUGCAUAGAGAUCACACAGAACACCGAUUGCGAAGGCAGCUUACC